rnacentral:rRNA from 1 species
GAUGAACGCUGGCGGCGUGCCUAAUACAUGCAAGUCGAGCGAACGGACGAGAAGCUUGCUUCUCUGAUGUUAGCGGCGGACGGGUGAGUAACACGUGGAUAACCUACCUACAAGACUGGGAUAACUUCGGGAAACCGGAGCUAAUUCCGGAUAAUAUUUUGAACCGCAUGGUUCAAAAGUGAAAGACGGUCUUGCUGUCACUUAUAGAUGGAUCCGCGCUGCAUUAGCUAGUUGGUAAGGUAACGGCUUACCAAGGCAACGAUGCAUAGCCGACCUGAGAGGGUGAUCGGCCACACUGGAACUGAGACACGGUCCAGACUCCUACGGGAGGCAGCAGUAGGGAAUCUUCCGCAAUGGGCGAAAGCCUGACGGAGCAACGCCGCGUGAGUGAUGAAGGUCUUCGGAUCGUAAAACUCUGUUAUUAGGGAAGAACAUAUGUGUAAGUAACUGUGCACAUCUUGACGGUACCUAAUCAGAAAGCCACGGCUAACUACGUG